rnacentral:tRNA from 1 species
GCGUCGGUGGUAUAACGGUUAGCAUAGCUGCCUUCCAAGCAGUUGACUCGGGUUCGACUCCCGGCCGACGCA